rnacentral:ncRNA from 2 species
GUCGCUCAACGGAUAAAAGUUACCCUAGGGAUAACAGGCUGAUCGCGUCCAAGAGUUCACAUCGACGACGCGGUUUGGCACCUCGAUGUCGGCUCGUCGCAUCCUGGGGCUGGAGAAGGUCCCAAGGGUAUGGCUGUUCGCCCUUUAAAGCGGUACGCGAGCUGGGUUCAGAACGUCGUGAGACAGUUUGGCCCCUAUCUGCUGUGAGCGCGUAGGAAUUUGAGAAGAUCUGCUCCUAGUACGAGAGGACC